rnacentral:rRNA from 1 species
UACGUAGGGGGCAAGCGUUGUCCGGAUUUAUUGGGCGUAAAGAGCGUGUAGGCGGCUAGGUAGGUCCGUUGUGAAAACUCGAGGCUCAACCUCGAGACGUCGAUGGAAACCAUCUAGCUAGAGUCCGGAAGAGGAGAGUGGAAUUCCUGGUGUAGCGGUGGAAUGCGCAGAUAUCAGGAAGAACACCAACGGCGAAGGCAGCUCGCUGGGACGGUACUGACGCUGAGACGCGAAAGCGUGGGGAGCGAACAGG